GAGGUUGGAGGACUGAGGUUGGAGGACCGAGGUUGGAGGACUGAGGUUGGAGGACUGAGGUUGGAGGACCAACAUUGGAGGACCGAGGUUGGAGGACCAACAUUGGAGGACCAAGGUUGGAGGACCAACGUUGGAGGACCAAGGUUGGAGGACCAAGGUUGGAGGACCAAUGUUGGAGGACCAACGUUGGAGGACCAAGGUUGGAGGACCAACAUUGGAGGACCAACGUUGGAGGACCGAGGUUGGAGGACCGAGGUUGGAGGACCAAGGUUGGAGGACCGAGGUUGGAGGACCGAGGUUGGAGGACCAAGGUUGGAGGACCAACAUUGGAGGACCAAGGUUGGAGGACCAAGGUUGGAGGACCAACAUUGGAGGACCAACAUUGGAGGACCAAGGUUGGAGGACCAACAUUGGAGGACUGAGGUUGGAGGACCGAGGUUGGAGGACCAAGGUUGGAGGACCAAGGUUGGAGGACCAACAUUGGAGGACCAAGGUUGGAGGACCGAGGUUGGAGGACCAACAUUGGAGGACCAACGUUGGAGGACUGAGGUUGGAGGACCAAGGUUGGAGGACCAAGGUUGGAGGACCGACGUUGGAGGACCAAGG